AAACAUGAUCAAGUCCUUCUAUACUGCAAGUCUUUUGAUAGAUGUCAUAACAGUAUUUGGAGAACUCACUGAUGAAAAUGUGAAACACAGGAAGUAUGCCAGAUGGAAGGCAACAUACAUCCAUAAUUGUUUAAAGAAUGGGGAGACUCCUCAAGCAGGCCCUGUUGGAAUUGAAGAAGAUAAUGAUGUUGAAGAAAAUGAAGAUGCUGGAGCAGCCUCUCUGCCCACUCAGCCAACUCAGCCAUCAUCAUCUUCAACUUACGACCCAAGCAACAUGCCAUCAGGCAACUAUACUGGAAUACAGAUUCCUCCGGGUGCACACGCUCCAGCUAAUACACCAGCAGAAGUGCCUCACAGCACAGGUGGGAAACUAUAACUCAAUGAUUUAUUUAAUUCCCCUUUUAUAAAUAAGAACUGCAUUUCUUAUCACAUGUGUGCCUCAUAAUGAUGGUCGUGAAAACAUGACAAGUUCCUUGAAUUCCAUUUGAACCCACAAGAAACAUUAAAUUAUUUUCAUUAAAAUUUUAA
rnacentral:sRNA from 1 species